UUUUUUUUUUAAAAAAGUCAAAAGAAAUUUUACCAAUAGGCCUGGGGUUAUUUAUUUAUUCAUCCGACAACAAUGUGUAAAUGAGAAUUAUCUUGUUCUAAUUUUUAAAAUUUUUUAUAUUGUAUUUUGUUGUUGUUAUUUAUUACAUGUAAAAAUGUGUCUUCUUACGAUAUUAUAAUAGAUCAUUAGACUGAAACUGCUCUACACAUUUUGUACCAGAAAAAAAAAGACA